CCUUGAAAAUGGGGUCAAAAGUCUAAUUUUGUUUUAAAAUAAGAAAGAUCAUAUCAUAAGGAACAUGUGUACUAAGUUUCAAGUUGAUUGAACUUCAGCUUCAUCAAAAACUACCUUGACCAAAAACUUUAACCAGAAACUCACACUUUUAAUUUCUAUGUUCAGUGGACCAUGAAAAUGGGGUCAAAAGUCUGAUUUUAUUUUAAAAUAAG
rnacentral:lncRNA from 1 species